UAUCGCUAACCCAGCCCCCGCCGCCGUUAAAAAAAAACCGCCCGCACGACCUCUCGCUCUUGACCUGUCGCCCCUCGUCCUUCUCCUGCGCCGUUCGCCGCCUCGCCCCGCGCCCUUCGCCGCAGGUCGCUGCCGGAGCCGCCCUGCCCCGCCCCGCCCCGCGCCUUCGCCGAGACGCCGGAGCCGCCCCGCCCUGCGCCCUUCGCCGAGCCGCCGCAGGUCGCGCCGGAGCCGCCCGCUGUUGGAGCCGCCGCAGGUCGCGUCGGAGCCGCCGCGGGUCGCCAGCGCCCUUCGCCGUAGUUCGCCGUUAGCGUCAGAUCAAUCUCUGUUUUGGGGAUGAUGAAGCACAUUAAGGAAUAAGAGGCAUAUGAGGUUCUGAUGUAGCCGGGUUCGCCGUUACCGCCGAAUUGGGACUGCUCAAUUGGUUCUGGACAAUACAACAAAAGAAAUGUGCAUAUUGUCCACAUCUGCAGGUAUGUAUGGGCAAGAGAGCUUUAUGCCCACAAAUAAUAUCUCAGGCUGCUCCUUUUAAAUGACAGAGAUUUACACUGCCAUUCAUAGAAUGAAUAUAGUUCCUAAGCAGUAUUCUCUUUUAUCAAAUUAUAUGUACAUCAAUUGAUAAGCAGUGUCGGAAUAGAUGGAUGCUAGCCACAACCUUGCAAGGACACCACCGUGGCUCGGCAACACACUUUCAGGCUUGCCUCUCACUCCCUACGCAGCCACUCUCCAGUGGAUGUUAUUAUUGUGGUUACUCCAUGGAGUGGACUGCUAGAACCUUAUUGUUGUUGUUACUCCAUGAACUAAUACUAGAUCAUUGAUGGCGCGCGUUGCUGCGCCCAUCCAUUUUGGCAUUGUAAUGUUAGUCGUGGAUACAAAUAUAUUAAGGGUUUUACAUUAUUUUAAAAUUGGCAUGAACUAAUAUCCAUGUGUCGUUGCUGCGACAGUCUAUUAGUUCAAUAAAAUAAUAGUAUUUUUUUUCUAAAUAUAUGAAACAUGGGUAAGAUACUGUAGCCCAUGAUAGGCUGCUAUUUCGACAAAUGCUGAUACUGGAAAGAAAUGGAUUUUUUUUGAUACAUUGACAUUGCUGUAACUUCAUAUGUCAUCUAAACUAAAAGUACAUAAUAUUUGCCACAAGCUGGUACAAACAUGGAGUGACAGUACACAGGGUGAACUAAUAAAACUCAAUGUCAUAGAACGUUCAUAGCGCCUUACAAGUCAUUGCUGACAUGAAGCAGCAAGGCGCAUUCAAAGUUAUACACAUGUGCCAUGUAGCUUCCUGCAAGAUGAUAUGUUAGAUAUAGUCCAAAAAAGGUUAUUUAAUCAUAGCUAAAAGAGGUUAUUUAAUCAAGGAAGACGUAUGACGGAAAUGAUUAGUUUAUCGACAACUAAGCUUUUGGUCAAGAAACUUGCAAGUGACUUAAGAAGACCAGACUCGUCGCUCUCUAUCUUCCUUACAAGUCAUAAAAGCACAAACAUGGUUUGGUACCAAAUGUAUGGUCGAAUCUGGAAUUGACUGCUCCCAGGGACCAAACCUCCCAUAUGAAGGUCCUCUGUUUCCAUGAUCCAUAUCCCCUGCAUCAAGAUCAGUACAUUUUAAUAAAGCAAUGGGGUGGAAGAUCAUAUGCCAAUAAAAAAUGCUUCAGGAGACAUAUAUGAGUGUAAACACAUAAUUUUGUGUUUUGCAAGAUAGAAAAUUCAUUAUAAUCUUGCUGACUACUGAGUAGAUUCAAUGGCUUUUCCACCUAAGUAGUUGUGUAAUCUUUGGCAUUGCUUCAGCUCAAUUAAAUUAGAUAAGUGUUCAGUUUUAUGCCUUCCAAAAAGAAUGUGGAAAUCAAUUGUUGAAAACAUUAGCUAUUUCAAAUCUAGACAGUAACUCCAUUGGAAAGCAUAGAAGGAAACUUCAGAGAGCAAUUGUCUGGCUAGUGACUGAAAUAACUGAUUUGCUCAACCUCACAUUGGAAAGCAUAGAAGAAUUGUUAUUAUGUAAAGUUAUCUCUACCCCUCUAUCCCAAGGGAGGCUUACAUUGGUAAAAAUUAAAAGCAACAAAUAAUCUUCUAUCAAAUGUAUGUUUAUAAUCUCAAAAUUUCGUGAACAUUAUUUGCAUGAAUUUUUGCGUCGACUUCGUAUGUUUCACUGUUCCUAAGCGUGCAAUGGGGCCGAAGUAGGAUAAAAUUAUCGUGGAGCAAUACACCUUCGAUGAAAGCAUUGUAGUACCAGCAGAAAACCCAAGAAAUGCGCCUAGGAAUUGAAUUUGUUGACAGAAAUCAUCCCUACUAUUGUGCACUUUUGCGCUCAAGUGGCAUAUAACAUUAUAUAUAAAGCCUAAUCCAAAAGGAAGGUAUAUAUUAAAAGCUUAACUUAAAGGCCUCUCAUAUCAUUCUUCCUAUGUACCAGAAGUAGCCUGGAUGACAUGAUUACUGAAGGUAAUUAUUAACUGGACAAGGUGUUGCACUGCUGCAUUAAAAUUGGACAUUUUCCAUUUGUCCACAUGUGAUGGAACGGUCUAGCCCUACCUAAAUUCAGUUUGUCGAACCUCAUGUAAAAUAUAUCUGUCUACACUCAUGCGCGAAGAAAGUUAUUACCAUCAUAUUGAAUUCAAAUCUGCUAAUUAUCCCAGUUGCUCCAGAAGGCCCUCAACCAAAGCAUACUCUAGAAGCUGGAGACAUUCAGCAACAAUGUUUUCAUUGUAGGAUCUGUACAAGUAAUAGGUAUGUCAUUUGAUUAGAUAGAAAACGGAUUAAGAGUGUGUUGGAACAACCACAUAAUUUCCUUAUGUUUGCCCAUAUGGAUCUACCGUCCAAAAUUAACCUGAUGCAUAUACAUUUAGGACAACAUACAUGUAUCAUUACGACCACUUCAACAUAUGAAUAAAUACUUGGAUAUUGGAUUGGAUAUGUCACUUCAUGUGAACUAACCUGGCCAGCAGCCAUUUGGAUCCUCGGCUGAAGAACUCUGGAGCCAAAAAUCCCAUCAAUCAAGGGCUUGGACAACAGUACCUACAAAUUAGGAGUGGAAAGCAGCUUCAGCAGGAGCCCAAACUGAGUGCAAACACUCAGUCAUGAAGGGAUUGCAGUGAGAAGGAAAAUUUACAGCAAAUUUUCAAGAUGAAGGAGCAACCUAAUGGAGACGCAUAACUCCAGGGAUGUUUAUUGCCGGAGGAAGAAUGGGGAAAUAACUUGGGUGACUGGACAGAGCAUAUGUAGGCGGAGCAGCCAAGUUGUACCUGACCUCCACUCUUUAAUGGCCUGUAGGAUUAGGAACGGCUGGUCUACUCCUUGCGUUAACAACGGCGGGUGAAUUCCAAUCGCGCACAACAUAGAAACUGACAAUUCAACUCCAUUAACUGCUCUUAAUGGCCAAUUAAUUUAUUAAUCAAUCUUUGGCGAUAGAACUUCGAUCCCUCCGCGCCUUGCAACAGAUCGGUCCGGUCGCCCGCGUCGGCUCUAUCGAGCGAUUCCUGCGUCGCCUGUAUCACCUGCGUCGCCUGGAUCUGAUCACCGCAUCACCAUUUAGAUGCACUAACAAUUAUACUCUUGAUAGAACAAUAAUGAUAUCUCUUGAUAGAUAUAUAAUUAUAGAAUACAUAUAGCAGGUAGAUAAUUCUAAUUCUUCAUGCAUCUGCUCUAGAGUGUGAACCAUUGGCAGCAAUCCCGUACAAGACACCUUGUACCAUCAAUUAUGACAUUGGAGCAAUCACAGACUCACAUGCAAUCAGGAACAGCAGGAUGAUGCCAGUUCGAUAUGGAUGGAUCUGCACAAGAUGGAGGUCAAAAUUGAUCGGACCUGCUACGAGAUGGCGACAUGGGUAGUGGGGAAGCCCCUCGCGCGGGAGCAUCCGCCGCCGCCGCCGCCAUCGGCUGAGCCCCACUGUCGUCGUCGCCUCUCGUCAACUCCACCGGGCAAGUCACCACCACCACUAUCGCUGCGGCCUCACUUCCACCAUGGUCGCUGCUUCUCCACAGAUCCAUCAAGAAGAUGAGCUUGAAUCCAUCACAACUCAGACCAUCUGCAUCCAGAGAGUAGAAAGAACAGGAUCAGUAAAGAUGGGUUUCAGAUUUGAGGCAGAAAAGAACUGGGAGAGGAAGGAGCGGAGAAGAUGAAGUAGUGGCAUGCCGAAGUGACGGGCAGGGAAGGGAACUGGGCGGAGGGAAACGGGGAAACUAUAUGGACACGCAUGGAUUUAGAAAGAGCACAAUCACAGGGUAAAUGCAUGUAAAUGACCUGCAAUCACCCACCAUUAAAAUCUGUCAACAUUGAUUUUCUUCCUCAAUGGAUUUCAAUUGACAGUGAUGGUUCUCUGCUAUCCUCGCUGCAUGCUGGCAUGCGCACGGUCGCACACAACCCUUUGCCCUGCCACGAGGUGUCUGUGGAUGAUUGCGUUUUUUUAUUCUUGUGAGAAGCUGCCGAGAUUGGAACUGGCCCACCUGGCCCAAAUAACAACGGAUUGCUGAUUUUGUUACCGGAGCAUCCGCCCCUCCGUGUAGCGCUCCCAGAAGCCAUGAAGGUGCAUCCAACGGCCAAGAACAUAUUUAGAAACUAAUCCAAGGGUUGAGAAUGCUAAUGUUCUGAGAGGGCUGGAUUAGUGCUCGGUUGUAAUGUUUCUAAAUGACCUUUGCAUCGAACCUUUUCUCCUAAAAACACCACACCGUCCUUUUGUUGUGUACUCUCAUUUGGUUUCUUUGUGCAACAUUGCCUGUUCAAGCAUUAGCAAGUGCAGUCAAUGAGGAAAAUUUAGCGGAUCUGAAGGACCAAUUCGAUAUAAUUGAUGAUAAAAGUGGACCAAUUACUGUAUUGAAGAAAUGUAGCAUGUAAGAUUUAGUGUACUUUCACAUGAUAAUGUUUUGCGCCAGUACUAGAUGGCGCUGAUGAUCUUUGUAUGUUUCGGUGGGCCCUUGUGAAGGAUCUUCACACUGAAGGCUCCUCAUGUUCUCAAGAUUAUUCAGGCAGUAAGCUGUGAGAUGGAUUUCUUUUUGGUUUCCCUUUUGUUUCAGAGAAAGCAACUGACUCUAUGCUAUAUGGUUUCCCCUUUGUUGUUGAGCAAGCAACUAACUGUAUCUCUCAAGCAAUUUAUUCAUACAUUUUGAUUGGAAAGAGACAACAACCAUUUGUUCUGCGACACUACUAUCUGACAAGUACUCAAUAUUAUACUAAUCGUCAAUGCUAUAGAAGUGUUCAUCCAUGAAUAAUGAGACUGAAGCCCAUUUUAGGUUAUGAGACUUUGUCCUGAUUCCAGAGAUGUACUAAAUUCUGAAGUUUGUUGUAUGACACUACUAUCUGAGAAGCAGAUUUUUUUGACACUUACUUGAGUGUAUUGGAUUGGGUAAACUAAUUAGCCCUAUGUAUCAGUUUGUGGUGUGCGGUUCUAAUGUGUGCUUUUUCUGUUGUUGUCAUUAUCCUCAAUAGAUCAUUCAAAUGUUGGAUUCAUGGCUUGCUAGAAUAGAUGAUUUGUGAAUCCAAUGCGUUCUUUUGCUGUUGUUGUUAGGUUGUUAAUUCAUCAAAGGCGGCUACUGAGUAUACAUACCGUGUUCAUCUCGCCUGCCUUCUUAGGAAAAAUCCUAUACUCAAGAUGCUCACCGAAUUGCGGAGAAUGGCUCAUUUUUCAGCCCAAUUCUGACACAUACCGUACCAGGCCAAAGUAUUUUCCUUUUAGAUUAUUAUUCCACAGCUCCAUAAUGCCCAUCAUCAGUAUCAUCUGAAGGGGCGACAUACCCAAUUCUCGGAUUCCUCAAGCAACAGAUGUAGUGUUGUCAAUCUCUGAAGAUGCGAAUCCGUCUGCUCGUAGACAACGACAGAGGGAUGAUUGGGAUACUAAAAGCCACAAUGUAUCGAGGCUUAGUGGAGUCAGUCACCAGCCUCUCCGUUGUUUGAACAACUGAACAACAACAUCAAGCGGCGCCAAAACAUGUGAGUUACUUUCAUUUUGGGCAUAGCCAACCUUAUUGGUGGACUGACUCUCAUUUUUCAGAAUAUUGCUGAUCUAAGAGACAUCCGAGACAUGAAUGAGGAAAAAAUGAGAAGGCCGGCCAUUGUUGGCUCAAGCUCAGGAGGUGGUCGAAAGCCUGGCUCCACAUGGUCCUAGCACUACUGUCCCACAUGGUGUUCGGGCCACUUCCACCAGUGCUCUGCGGGUUGUCGUUCCGCGAGAGCAAUGACGGGGAGAACAAGAUGAUGCGGUGCUUUGCUCGCCUGCAUUGCGCUGCUUGCGCUCGGGACGUGCAUGUCUACAGAAGAGCCAUGACAUACUUCAAGACUCUAAUUUACUAUCUGACCAUCGCCGCGAGCUUGUCCGGGAUAUCGUACGUUGCCGAUGUGCUGAUCACGAGGCUUCUCAAACACUUUGGCACCAUCGAUCUAGGUGGUGCAUUGGCUCCUCAUGCUUCUCUAGGCCUGUUGUUCUCUCAUUUAGGUCAUGCACAUACGUCUGCCUAGGCCUCACUCUGAAUGCUUAAGAGGCUGUUUGGUUUAUGACUAACUUUGCCAAAGAUUGCCACACCUAAGGUUAGGCAAGUUUGACCAACUUAGGUGAGUGUUUGGUUCAAGCCACACCUUAGGCAAGCCACACUUGUGCCCCACAUGGCAUACACACAAAAAGUGUGACAAGAUUCCUUUAGGCUUUCCAACUUGUGGCUCUCAUUUUGAUGAAUUAACCUUAGGCAAGUUUGGCAAAAAUGUGUGGCAAAGUAUGGCAAUGCUAGUCCUAUAACCAAACAGCCCCUAAGUUCCUCGGAGCACUGAUUGUAUAAAAAGAGAAGACAUGUGUGAAUUCAAGAGAAAGUGCACGAAGAAACAUCUGAAUCUUUUUGAGUUGCUA